rnacentral:lncRNA from 1 species
UUUCUGAGAUCUUCAACAGAAACAUGUAAUCCUGAUGAAGAUUUAAACUUCAAUCCACUUUUCAGACAUUUAUUUUUUCAUAGUCCACAAUGACUUCAAUCUUGAUUUCCCUACUCAACUAAUUACUAGUAUUAGUAGUGCCUGCAGAGAGAUUAUGUUCUAGUUGCUAGAUAUAACUUUUGAGUAAGUGUCAAGAUCAAUCUUUGUUUAUUACUUUAGAAUUGAUGGAUGCAUUGGUUACUUAUUGUACAUUUCAGUGAUAGCCCUGUUGGAACGUAACUAGAAGAUUGAAAAAGAAAUACUUGUGGAAGAUGCUGUUUCAAACACCUAAUAGUUUGUAAAGUUUGACAUAGCAUGACUCAGAGAUUCUUGACAUAAUAGAAUGCUUUAACAACUAGAUGGCAGCCUAUUGAUUUCUUGAAAGAUGCACAAAGCUCCUGACAAUGCAAGGUCUAGCAAGGAUCAAUGCACGCAACCUAACUGUGUUGAAAAUUUGCUAUUGAUUUCCAUAGCUAGGGUCAAUGCAUGAAGCCUAUUGAUUUCUGUUAGCCUCUUGAAUUUCUUCAUAUUUAAAAUUUGCUACAUGCUCCAAAAGUUGCCAACAGCCAUAUGUGUUAUUAACUUCCCAAUGAGAUUGUAGAUUAUUUUUUCUUCGACUGCUUUGCAAUAAUAAUAGUGUUAUUAUUAUUAUAAAUUGAAAUGUGAAACAGAAUCAGUUUAUGAUUUUCUGCAGAACAACUGGAUCAUAGACUAUGAAUUACUAUUUUGCUUUGGGUAGACUGAUGUGGAAAGAGAGAAAUUGCAUCGAUAUUGAUUUCUCAGCUUGGAUUGCUGUAUUGUAGCACUGGGCAAGUUAAUACCUUUUAGGUAUAGUUUGAAUCCAUGGUGUGCCAAUCAACAUGCCUUUGUGCUGGCCAACGCCGUUUAAAAAUUGAUCUAGCCAUAUGCCUGCAUCCUUGGCAUUGUUUUGCAUGAUGAAUGUUGAUAUCUCUUUGGAUGGUACAUUUUUAUCACCACUAACAUGUAACUAUUGACACAACAAUCCUUCUUUCUAUGCAAGUGGAUACUUAAUGGUCAAAUUAGAAUUAUAAUCUUUAAGUCAUGGUGGCUAACUACUUUGAAAAUCCCUGGUUCGUAUAGAGGACAUCAAUUUACUUGUUAUUGCUUUUUAGUUCAGAAUGUAUUGACCAAUAAAUCAUUUUAUUGUCCAAACUUGCUACAUUACGUGUGCAUAUGUACUUUAUAUAUUUUCAUGAGUAAUUCUAUGCAACAGCCUUUUUAUUUGUGAAGCAUUUGUUUAGGUGAAUCUCCAGCUUUCCAAGUGAUUCAUGUCUUGACAUCCUUCUUUUGUAUAUCUAGAAGGAUCAUACAUUAGACAAACAUGUUGUGACUUGUGAGUGAAAUCAAAUAAUGACUCUGGCUCUGACGUUGAUGCUUUUUGGUAUUACUAAUUGUAGUGAAUUAAGUAUCAUCAAUUGUUGCAUUACAUCUGAAUGUCCCGCUCCAUUUGAAUCAUUUUCAGUUUGCACAUUGUGAAUAUCUUUACCUAUCAGCUACCCUAUUGACAUAGUUUCCUCAAGCUCAAACUCCAUUUCCUGGUGUUGUUUCGUUGAUUUGCA